AUCCCAAAAACAUGCAUUGUGGGUGUACCACGCCGCUUGCCCGAAGAUGGCUGGGAUAGGCUCCAGCACGCCCACGACCCUAGUGAGGAUAAGCAGUACGGAAGAUGAAUGAACGAACUAGGGUACACUGGUAGAAGUAGUAAGUCACUCGCGGGGCAUGUUAGAGGUGAACUACUCGAAUUUGUUUCUGUAGCACACCGUUAUCAACUAGUGCACAGUUCUGCCUCACGAGUAACAAAUUUAGUUAUUGACGAGUAGAAUCGAACAAAAGCUCGAACGGCUUGCCUCACUGCAGUAAAGUAGUUCACUCUUCUUCGACGCAACAUACAUGACGUCACUGCGUCGUCCUUGCUGAGUGCUACUUUGCUAGCAUAGCAUUAGCAUCGCUGCACUCGGAGAGCCAAAACAAGCACACAUUGUCACGGCGAGUAUAUUCCCCUUAAACAGCAGCAAACGAUCACUCGUGCCGAGGCUAUUUAACACAACAACGCCGGUUCUUACGUGCCCAAAAGAAGAAGUUGUUACCGUCAAUUUUUGGCGUUCCCGUGGCCUUUGUCCGUCACCAUAAAGCUUCCGUGUAUAUAUUGAGCGAACAGUUCCGACCAAAAUGGGUUUUAUAUACAUAUGAAAAUAUUAUUCCAUCUAAAGCUAUUGGAGACAGAAACAUAUUAUUACAUUUGGUAUAAAAUAUGAAUAGAACAAUUUAGUGUGCGUAUGUGUAAACCUUUGAGUUCUGGUGGUUUUAGACAGUGACAUUUUAACAAUUUGUAAUCAGUAAAUCAUCCAAAAUCAGAGCUCAAAACCCAUCUGAGGUGGUCUUCCAGUCAUCCACUCGGGUUUUUCCCGCAAGGACCCCCACAUGCCCCCCAUGUUCGCAACGCUUAUAAAUGUGUACCCCUAAAUGCCAUAGGAAUUCAGAAGUUUUCUAUUUUUGAGAAAAAAAGGCCACUCAACUUCUUUCUAGAGCACUUUAAAAGAACUACAACCAUAGCUAUAACAAAUAUAAAAUAAUUAUUGAACAUAUACAGCACUAAAAUCAAUAAUAAAAAAUAUCAUAAUGAUUUUAUCCGUGACACCAGAGGUUAAGCAGUGUAGAAAAUGAAUGGCUGGAAUAUUGUCUUCUAAUUAAAAUAUAUAUCCUUCAAAACAAACUCUUGCAGUGCCCCUUGUGUGUCUUAAGACGAUACUGUCACAGUCCUUAUGUUUGGCCGCCUGCUGUUCCAAUGACGGCCCGUCGGUGGUCAAAGACAUAUUUUGGGCGGGAUUAAAAAGUCAUAAUCCUCUGGCGAUGAAGUUGAAUUUUUCAGUGAUAACGUCGUAAUAAUAUGAUAUUAAAGUUAAAUAUUAUCAUAUGAAGGAAUUCAUAUUUAGGCAAGUGAAUUUUAAAAAAUACAACUUUCUUUCUCAUAUUAUAACACUUUUUAUUCAAACAAAGAUGGCUUUAUUUGAACAUUUUUGUUUAAAAAAAUGCUCCCCAAAUGUUUUCUUUUGAACGCAAGUACAUUUCAGAAACUAUACUUUUGAAUUAUUAUUAUUAUUAUUUUUUUACUUUUCCUUAAGUGCAGAAAUGGAAUGGAAAUAGAAUUUGCCAGUCUUUUUUUUAUCUAUACUUCUGCUUAGUGUAAGUACUUUUGCCGACUCUGCUUUGGUCUACUCCAUCUGCAGUAAGACGAAAGUUUGAAAAGCGUUUCAAGUGUUCUCGUGCAAGGAUUGUAUGUUAUUAUUAUUAUUUAUUAUUUUUCAGCCGUUGCCCCUAUGAGUCCGCGCUUGGAAGAUAAUUAACUAAAUCCUCACAACAAACUUCCUUAAGGUGACUGUAUAAGAAUGAGAUGAAAAUAAAAGUCUGAUGAAGACAAACUGAACAAAACAAACCCAAUCAUUGGAUGAAUCCUGCAGGUCCAAGUUGUGUUUCUACAGCGGUCACUCAAAAAAAAACCUAAAAAACAACUUUAGUGGUCCAGGUGCACCCAGGCGCUCCUCCCAUGACCGCACGGGGUCAGAGUCCCCCAGGUCGGCAGUGAGUACACAAAGAAACCACUCAAGAUUGUUUUCAGUCGGUACGUCUCCAGUUUAACUGACACUUAUAAGAGUUGUGCUUCUGAAACUUCCGUUGACUAUCUGGCCGCAAACAGAAUAAGGAGUGUGUUUGUCCUAAAACAAUAAGUUGCUUUGACACUUAUUUGCUCUUCCUUGCAAGCAAACUUCAGACCUUCAAGGAGGAGUACAGCAUUUGGAUUAUUUUCAAUGAAGCGCACUCAAGUAAGAGGUUUUCAGUCCCCUAGAUCAUCUACGUCCUCAGUAGAGGAAGACACACACAAAAACCCUGCCUCAAAGACGAACGAUGGCAACCGACGAGACGCAGCAGAAAACAUCCAAGGCGGUAUAUUUCGCCACACUGCCUGAUAAAUACGAACCUUUGAUUGAGGAUGAAGUAAGCGAGGAAACGCCAGGGGAAAAGUUGAGGAGGAAGGAGAAGAGGAAGAGGAGAAGGAAGAAGUACAUUAGGAACGUGAAGAAAGCCUGCAGCUUCAGCUGGCGAUGCCUGCUGAGCGGGUUGCAGAGCCUGGCCUCCUCAUACGUCCUACCGCUGUCAGGUGUGGCUGUCGUGAUGGAGCAUCAGCGGUCGGCGGCCAAUAAGGUGUGAUGGCUCCACCCGAGGAUGGAGCCUCACUGGGACACUUCCUGGCAACUCUUCAAUGUACAAUAGUGUCCUAGAGUUGUGUUUUUUGUUUUGUUUUUUUCAUCCUGCAUGAAUUUGACUUCCUAAACGCCACAGCAGUUGAGUUCUUGUCACUUUUAUGUUUCACAAUGGAAAAGCUAUUUAGAUUAAUUUUUGCAAAAUAUUUCUAAACAGUUUUAAAGACUGGAAAUUUAGUUGAGAUAUUUUUUUUUUCUAAAUACAUUGCACAUAUUUAAAGAUGACUGAUGAAAAUGUGCUAAGACUGGGAAUUACGCAGUCCUGAAUUGUGGAGAUCUCGGGUUCUAUUUUUGUGACUAGCGUAAAUUCAGCAUUGCGUGUGGCGUAACUCUGUGAGGAGGUGGGUCAGAACCGGUAUUAGUAUUUUCUGGAUCUGCGUAGAGAAGCGCUUUUAAAAGUGGGACGUCUGUGCUGGUGUGGGCGUGUUCACAGCAGACUUCAACCCUGUACAAUCAAAGCAGCUCCUCUCGUUCCCUUUAAAUGCAGCGCACAAGUGGUGCACUGACAGUCUUUGACAUGGCGCAAGUAAGAAACUGAUUUGCUCGAGUCUGGGAGAUUAAAACGUACAAACUAUGUUUAUAAGGAAAUGCAAGCAGACUUGCACAGGCGGCUGAUGUACUGUAAAGUUGGCUCGUGAGGAGAUCACAGAUCUGCGCCGUGAAGUGGGCACUUGGAGACUGCCCCCACCUGCAAUAGUUUUUGUGCGUGUGCCCACCCCCACCCCACCAUGGCAGCACGUCAGCCAAUAUAUCAUUUAAAAAAUAUAAUAAUAAUAAUAAUGAUGCGUUCAAUGAAUUGUCUUCUACAAAUCUCUCUCUCUCUCUCUCUCGCUAUAUAUAUAUAUAUAUAUAUAUAUAUAUAUAUAUAGC